rnacentral:rRNA from 1 species
GACUCACGCGGGAAUCUUACCGGGUCCGGACACACUGAGGAUUGACAGGUUUCGAGAGUUUUUUUGGAGUUCGCUCCAGAAUGCUCUCUUAAAUAUGCUAGUCCUUUCAUGAUUAUGUGAUAGGUGGUGCAUGGCCGUUCUUAGUUCGUGGAGUGAUCUGUCUGCUUAAUUGCGUUUCACUAAAGGCGUCAUUAUAUUUUUGUGCUUGUGUUUGACCCCUCUUUCUUCGGAUUGAGCGCGUGUCUUUCACACACAAUUACUUUGACGUCUGAAAGCAACGAACGUGACCGUAACCUCUUGUUGCCUUCUCUUCUCUUCGGAGAAUGCUAGUUUUUUUCUUCGGAUAAAUUCUAGUAUAUGGAGGCUUUUACUCAAACUAGAGGGACCGCUGUUACUUUCUUUAAACCAGAGGAAGGUUGCGGCAAUAACAGGUCUGUGAUG